rnacentral:misc_RNA from 1 species
AAAAAAAAAAAAACCUUUUUCUCCUCUUAAUUGCCUUUUCUCGGGAAACAAACGGGCAAAAGGAAAAGGUGUAGUCACUUUCUUAGCAAAUAAAGAUAAACACCCAAGAAAAUAAAUAAAUCAAAUAAAAACAAAAUCCAGAAACUUAAAGCAGUGAGCCAAGUUUGAUUAGCCAACCCUUUGAUUCAGAGUCCGCAAUUUGCCCAACUACUAAAACCAAACACUUAUUCCCAUCUUCACCCAAUAAUUUAUAUAUAAAAACCAACUCCUUAUAAUAAAAGUCAAACCAAUCCAAGCCAAACCCAAAACCAAUGACCCAUUCAAAAUCCAAAUCGAAAACCAAAUGCACACGCAAUUACAUUAUUAGUCAAGCGCAAACUAAACUACCCCUUCCCCCGCCCUCACAAAUUUGGAA